rnacentral:lncRNA from 1 species
AACCCUGCUCAAGUAUUUUGGACAGAAUCCUCUUUUUCAUUGGUGAUUUGGAAGCAGCUUCUUUACAUGCUAAACGAAGCCGACUGCAGUAGUGAUCUCUCAAUCGAAAGCCGAAUCUAAUGAAUUUUCAAUAUUUAUUGCUCUGUCUAUAGUCAUUUAUGUAAACAAUUUCUCAUCCUAUCGAAUUGGGAAGUUAUUGCAAUAUAAUUUACAUAAUUUGGAAUCAAGUUUUGAUUGUCGACCAUCAGAAUUGGGACGUAUAGGGAUGCUUUACAUGAACCCAAG